UAACACAUGCAAGUCGAGCGGUAGAGAGAAGCUUGCUUCUCUUGAGAGCGGCGGACGGGUGAGUAAUGCKCUAGGAAUCUGCCUGGUAGUGGGGGAUAACGUYCGGAAACGGACGCUAAUACCGCAUACGUCCUACGGGAGAAAGCAGGGGACCUUCGGGCCUUGCGCUAUCAGAUGAGCCUAGGUCGGAUUAGCUAGUUGGUGGGGUAAUGGCUCACCAAGGCGACGAUCCGUAACUGGUCUGAGAGGAUGAUCAGUCACACUGGAACUGAGACACGGUCCAGACUCCUACGGGAGGCAGCAGUGGGGAAUAUUGGACAAUGGGCGAAAGCCUGAUCCAGCCAUGCCGCGUGUGUGAAGAAGGUCUUCGGAUUGUAAAGCACUUUAAGUUGGGAGGAAGGGCAGUAAAUUAAUACUUUGCUGUUUUGACGUUACCGGCAGAAUAAGCACCGGCUAACUCUGUGCCAGCAGCCGCGGUAAUACAGAGGGUGCAAGCGUUAA
rnacentral:rRNA from 1 species